CUACGUAUGUCGCAAGCGUUAUCCGGAAUUAUUGGGCGUAAAGCGAGUCUAGGCGGCUUGUUAAGUCAGAUGUGAAAAUGCGGGGCUCAACUCCGUAUUGCGUUUGAAACUGGCAGGCUAGAGUACUGGAGAGGUGGGCGGAACUACAAGUGUAGAGGUGAAAUUCGUAGAUAUUUGUAGGAAUGCCGAUAGUGAAGACAGCUCACUGGACAGAUACUGACGCUAAAGCUCGAAAGCGUGGGGAGCGAACAGGAUUAGAAACCCCAGUAGUCC
rnacentral:rRNA from 1 species